rnacentral:rRNA from 1 species
CACGUAGGGGGCAAGCGUUGUCCGGAUUUAUUGGGCGUAAAGAGCUCGUAGGUGGUUCGGUAAGUCGGGUGUUAAACCCCCAGGCUCAACCUGGGGACGCCACUCGAUACUGCUGUGACUAGAGUCCGGUAGGGGAGCGUGGAAUUCCCGGUGUAGCGGUGAAAUGCGCAGAUAUCGGGAAGAACACCCGUGGCGAAGGCGGCUACUCUGGGACGGUACUGGACGGCUGAGACGCGAAAGCGUGGGGAGCGAACGAG